rnacentral:rRNA from 1 species
CUCUCCUUGCCCCAUAAAUGUCACAACAACCUCGACCCAAAUUCCCGAUAACGAGGGCCCGUGGAAAGGUUUGCCAGUUUCCCCCCCAGAUUUGGUUUAGGGCCAAGGAGUUUUAAAAAAGGGGCCUCCCCUCCGGGUUUCGCCCCAACCUCUUACCAAUUUAUAUCUACCUUGUUGUAUUGGCAAACAUAAGGUCACCUGCGCUGACUUCGGGCUAAGAGACGCCUUUCAGAGCCAUUCAAUUCUGCCUAUCCAGUUUAUCAGGACAAAAACAUAAUAGUCAAAACUUCAAGAACGGAUCUCUGGGUUCCGAGCAUCGAUGAGGACGCAGCGAAUGCGAUAAGUAAUGUGAAUUGCAGAAUUCAGUGAAUCAUCGAAAUCUUUGAACGCACAUGCGCCCCUCGGUAUUUCCGAGCGGGGCAUGCCUGUUCGAGCGUCAUUACACCCCUCAAAGCGUAGCGUAGGUAUUGGGUUGCUCGCCCCCGCGGCGUGCCGCGAAAAGCAGUGGCGGUCCGGUGUGACUUUAAGCGCAGUAAAUCUUCCCCGCUUUGAAAGUUCGCCCCGUGGCUUUCCCAGACAACCCCGAUUGAUUUCAAGAUGA